AUGCAAGUCGAACGGAAAGGCUCAUGCUUGCUUGAGUACUCGAGUGGCGAACGGGUGAGUAACACGUGGGUGAUCUGCCCUGCACUUUGGGAUAAGCCUGGGAAACUGGGUCUAAUACCAGAUAGGACCCUUACUUGGAUGUUUGGGUGGAAAGUUUUUUCGGUGUGGGAUGAGCUCGCGGCCUAUCAGCUUGUUGGUGGGGUAAUGGCCUACCAAGGCGUCGACGGGUAGCCGGCCUGAGAGGGUGUACGGCCACAUUGGGACUGAGAUACGGCCCAGACUCCUACGGGAGGCAGCAGUGGGGAAUAUUGCACAAUGGGCGCAAGCCUGAUGCAGCGACGCCGCGUGGGGGAUGACGGCCUUCGGGUUGUAAACUCCUUUCGCCAAAGACGAAUUUGGACGGUAUUUGGAGAAGAAGCACCGGCUAACUACGUGCCAGCAGCCGCGGUAAUACGUAGGGUGCGAGCGUUGUCCGGAAUUACUGGGCGUAAAGAGCUCGUAGGUGGUUUGUCGCGUCGUUUGUGGAAUACCGGGGCUUAACUUCGGGGUUGCAUACGAUACGGGCAUAACUUGAGUGCUGUAGGGGAGACUGGAAUUCCUGGUGUAGCGGUGAAAUGCGCAGAUAUCAGGAGGAACACCGAUGGCGAAGGCAGGUCUCUGGGCAGUAACUGACGCUGAGGAGCGAAAGCAUGGGGAGCGAACAGGAUUAGAUACCCUGGUAGUCCAUGCCGUAAACGGUGGGCGCUAGGUGUGAGUCCCUUCCACGGGGUUCGUGCCGUAGCUAACGCAUUAAGCGCCCCGCCUGGGGAGUACGGCCGCAAGGCUAAAACUCAAAGGAAUUGACGGGGGCCCGCACAAGCGGCGGAGCAUGUGGAUUAAUUCGAUGCAACGCGAAGAACCUUACCUGGGCUUGACAUACACCAAAUCGCCCCAGAGAUGUGGUUUCCCUUGUGGUUGGUGUACAGGUGGUGCAUGGUUGUCGUCAGCUCGUGUCGUGAGAUGUUGGGUUAAGUCCCGCAACGAGCGCAACCCUUGUCUUAUGUUGCCAGCACGUUAUGGUGGGGACUCAUGAAAGACUGCCGGGGUUAACUCGGAGGAAGGUGGGGAUGACGUCAAAUCAUCAUGCCCCUUAUGUCCAGGGCUUCCCC
rnacentral:rRNA from 1 species